CGAAGUGGCGGUCAUCCAGCUUCCUAGAAAAGCUCUAACCACGUUAAUCUUUAGUUGCCUGUACCCGAAACCGACACAGGUAGGGGGGUAGAGAAUACCAAGGGGCGCGAGAUAACUCUCUCUAAGGAACUCGGCAAAAUGACCCCGUAACUUCGGGAGAAGGGGUACCACUGAGAAGUGGUCGCAGUGAAGAGGCCCAGGCGACUGUUUACCAAAACACAGGUCUCCGCCAAGUCGCAAGACGAAGUAUGGGGGCUGACGCCUGCCCAGUGCCGGAAGGUUAAGGAAGUGGGUUAGGGAUUCGUCCCGAAGCUGACGACUGAAGCCCCGGUGAACGGCGGCCGUAACUAUAACGGUCCUAAGGUAGCGAAAUUCCUUGUCGGGUAAGUUCCGACCCGCACGAAAGGCGUAACGAUCUGGGCGCUGUCUCGGAGAGAGGCUCGGCGAAAUAGGAUUGUCUGUGAAGAUACGGACUACCUGCACCUGGACAGAAAGACCCUAUGAAGCUUUACUGUAGCUUGGAAUUGGGUUCGGGCUUGGUUUGCGCAGGAUAGGUGGGAGGCGAAGAAGAUUUGCUUGUGGGUGAAUCUGAGCCAACGGUGAGAUACCACUCUAACCAGGCUAGAAUUCUAACUUCAACCCGUCAACCGGGGGGAGGACAGUUUCAGGUGGGCAGUUUGACUGGGGCGGUCGCCUCCUAAAAGAUAACGGAGGCGCACAAAGGUUCCCUCAGGCUGGUUGGAAAUCAGCCAACGAGUGCAAAGGCAGAAGGGAGCUUGACAGCGAGACCUACAAGUCAAGCAGGGUGGAAACACGGUCUUAGUGAUCCGACGGCACCGAGUGGAAGGGCCGUCGCUCAACGGAUAAAAGUUACUCUAGGAUAACAGGCUGAUCUCCCCCAAGAGUUCACAUCGACGGGGAGGUUUGGCACCUCGAUGUCGGCUCAUCGCAACCUGGGGCGGAAGUACGUCCCAAGGGUUGGGCUGUUCGCCCAUUAAAGCGGUACGUGAGCUGGGUUCAGAACGUCGUGAGACAGUUCGGUCCAUAUCCGGUGUAGGCGCAAGAACAUUGAGAGGAGUCUUCCUUAGUACGAGAGGACCGGGAAGAACGCACCGCUGGUGUACCUGUUAUCGUGCCAACGGUAAACGCAGGGUAGCCAAGUGCGGAGUGGAUAACCGCUGGAAGCAUCUAAGUGGGAAGCCCACCUCAAGAUGAGUGUUCUCAUGGAGUAAUCCAGUAAGGUCACGGGAAGACGACCCGUUGAUAGGCGGUAGGUGGAAGUUCAGCAAUGGAUGAAGCCGAGCCGUACUAACAGACCGAGGGCUUGAC
rnacentral:rRNA from 1 species